rnacentral:rRNA from 1 species
GAUGAACGCUGGCGGCGUGCCUAAUACAUGCAAGUCGAGCGAACAGACGAGGAGCUUGCUCCUCUGACGUUAGCGGCGGACGGGUGAGUAACACGUGGAUAACCUACCUAUAAGACUGGGAUAACUUCGGGAAACCGGAGCUAAUACCGGAAAAUAUAUUGAACCGCAUGGUUCAAUAGUGAAAGACGGUUUUGCUGUUACUUAUAGAUGGAUCCGCGCCGCAUUAGCUAGUUGGUAAGGUAACGGCUUACCAAGGCAACGAUGCGUAGCCGACCUGAGAGGGUGAUCGGCCACACUGGAACUGGAACACGGUCCAGACUCCUACGGGAGGCAGCAGUAGGGAAUCUUCCGCAAUGGGCGAAGGCCUGACGGAGCAACGCCGCGUAGGUGAUGAAGGUCUUCGGAUCGUAAAACUCUGUUAUUAGGGAAGAACAAAUGUGUAAGUAACUAUGCACGUCUUGACGGUACCUAAUCAGAAAGCCACGGCUAACUACGUG